rnacentral:rRNA from 1 species
UAGGGANUCUUCGGCAAUGGGGGCAACCCUGACCGAGCAACGCCGCGUGAGUGAAGAAGGUUUUCGGAUCGUAAAGCUCUGUUGUAAGAGAAGAACGAGUGUGAGAGUGGAAAGUUCACACUGUGACGGUAACUUACCAGAAAGGGACGGCUAACUACGUGCCAGCAGCCGCGGUAAUACGUAGGUCCCGAGCGUUAUCCGGAUUUAUUGGGCGUAAAGCGAGCGCAGGCGGUUAGAUAAGUCUGAAGUUAAAGGCUGUGACUUAACCAUAGUACGCUUUGGAAACUGUUUAACUUGAGUGCAGAAGGGGAGAGUGGAAUUCCAUGUGUAGCGGUGAAAUGCGUAGAUAUAUGGAGGAACACCGGUGGCGAAAGCGGCUCUCUGGUCUGUAACUGACGCUGAGGCUCGAAAGCGUGGGGAGCAAACAGGAUUAGAUACCCUGGUAGUCCACGCCGUAAACGAUGAGUGCUAGGUGUUGGGUCCUUUCCGGGACUCAGUGCCGCAGCUAACGCAUUAAGCACUCCGCCUGGGGAGUACGACCGCAAGGUUG